UACGUAGGUCCCGAGCGUUGUCCGGAUUUAUUGGGCGUAAAGCGAGCGCAGGUGGUUUAAUAAGUCUGAUGUAAAAGGCAGUGGCUCAACCAUUGUGUGCAUUGGAAACUGUUAGACUUGAGUGCAGUAGAGGAGAGUGGAAUUCCAUGUGUAGCGGUGAAAUGCGUAGAUAUAUGGAGGAACACCAGUAGCGAAGGCGGCCAUCUGGCUGAUAACUGACGCUGAGGCUCGAAAGCGUGGGUAGCAAACAGG
rnacentral:rRNA from 1 species